AGAACAACAAGGACAACAAGGACAACAAGAACAAAAUCACAGACUGAUGACCCAGGUGCAGCUCUGGUGUGGCCGUACAUCCUCGUGGCUGUCAUUUCAGCAGCACUUUUAAUCUUUGCUGUGAAACUGAUUGUACUGAAGAGAGGGACCAAAACACAAGCCAAUGAAAAUGCGGAUCAUGAAGAUGGUGUUUCCUACAUCUCCAUCAGCUACACCAACAAGGCUAACAGU